GCCCAGUAUUUACAGUUGAAAAUAUUUUUUAAAAAUUAACAAUACAAAAAUUUAUGAAAAUUGUUAAAAAUUGACUAUAAAGGGCAAUAACUCUUUAAGGGGUCAACUUAAAAUUUUGGUCAUAUUGACUUAUUUGUAGAUCUUGCUUUGCAGAACAUUAUUGCUGUUUACAGUUUAUCUCUAUCUAUAAUAAUAUUUAAGAU
rnacentral:lncRNA from 1 species